rnacentral:rRNA from 1 species
UAUUCGUUGAAGCUGUAGCGUGAGCUAUAGUGGAGUUUAUGGAAACGAAAAUGUAGGCAUGAGUAACGAUAAAACGGGUAAGAAACCCGUUCACCGAUAGACUAAGGUUUCCACGGCAAUGCUAAUCAGCCGUGGGUUAGUCGGGACCUAAGGAAAACCCAAAGGGGGUAUCCGAUGGUAAAUUGGUUAAUAUUCCAAUACCUUUAUUAACUGCGAUGGGGUGACGAAGUAGUGACAUAUCCGCGUACUGACGGAAUAGUACGUUAAAGGGUGUAGAUUAUGAUUUAGUUAAUAGCUUAUUUUUUCGAACCUGACAGUACCAUGACCUUCGGGUGAUUGGAUAGUGAUAGUAAUCAUACUUCCUAGAAAAACCUCUAAGCUUCAGGUUAAUAAAGCCCGUACCCUAAACCGACACAGGUAGUCAAGGAGAGAAUCCUGAGGUGCUCGAGUUAGUCGUGGCUAAGGAACUAGGCAAAUUUACCCCGUAACUUCGGAAUAAGGGGUCCCUAUGCAAGUAGGGCGCAGAGAAAUGGCCCAGGCGACUGUUUAACAAAAACAUAUGGCUUUGCUAAAUUGAAAGAUGAUGUAUAAGGCCUGACACCUGCCCGGUGCCGGAAGGUUAAGAGGGGAUGUUAUUCUUUCGGGAGAAGCAUUGAAUUGAAGCCCCAGUAAACGGCGGCCGUAACUAUAACGGUCCUAAGGUAGCGAAAUUCCUUGUCGGGUAAGUUCCGACCUGCACGAAUGGUGUAACGAUCUGGGCACUGUCUCAGCCAUGAGCUCGGUGAAAUUGUAAUACCGGUGAAGAUGCCGGUUACCCGCAACGGGACGGAAAGACCCCGUGAACCUUUACUGCAACUUAGCAUUGAUUUUGGGUAAGUUAUGUGUAGGAUAGGCCGGAGACUAUGAAGUGGUGCCGCCAGGUAUCAUGGAGUCGCCGUUGAAAUACGGCCCUUGACUUGCCUGAAGUCUAAUCCCUCAGAGAGAGGGAGACAUUGCUUGGUGGGUAGUUUGACUGGGGUGGUCGCCUCCAAAAGAGUAACGGAGGCUCCCAAAGGUACCCUCAUGACGUUUGGCAAUCGUCAGUAGAGUGUAAUGGCACAAGGGUGCUUGACUGUGAGACCGACAAGUCGAACAGGUAGGAAACUAGGGCAUAGUGAUCCGGUGGUUCCGCAUGGAAGGGCCAUCGCUCAAAGGAUAAAAGG